AUUCCGUCAAGUCCUUCGACAAAGUCAGCCUCGGCUACGGCGGCAACAAGAAGCUCGACGGCCGCCACUACCAGGUCCAGCUUAAUUAUGCAGAUGACCAUGAUGGUUCCACCUUCGUUCCCGCAAGAACACUCUCUGAACAAGGCCGGAGCACAGGCUGCUUCGCUGGUUGGCUGGUUCUGGUUGUGAAGCACAGAGACGCGGUAUACGGACCGGAGUUCGUCAAGGAUGACGGGAGGAACGAGCUCAGCGGUUUCAGCCUUGCUCAUAUGAAGGAUGUCGACGAUACUGAACUUGACUGAAACGAUGAAGAUUCGGAUGGUGAUUCAGACGACCGACGAGUAUGCGGUCAAGGAGGAAGGAGAGGAGGAGAAGUAGAACUGCUUGGCCAGGUUUCUGCAGUUUCAUUUGUGUUGGCAGAUGCAUUUUCUGGGGUCUCAUCGAGUAUGUGGAUUUUUUUUAUUAUUAUAAUAUAGUAGUAGCAUAGGAUGAGAGUCUCAUAGCCUAUCAUCAACUUGAUUCUAACACACUUUUGCAGUGUCGAGCAUAUGCUUGUCAUUA